UACGGGGGGGGGCUAGCGUUGUUCGGAAUUACUGGGCGUAAAGGGCGCGUAGGCGGUCUGCUAAGUUGGAUGUGAAAACUCUGGGCUUAACCCAGAGCCUGCAUUCAAUACUGACAGGCUAGAGUUCUGGAGGGGAUAGCGGAAUUCCUGGUGUAGCGGUGAAAUGCGUAGAUAUCAGGAGGAACACCGGUGGCGAAGGCGGGUCUCUGGGCCGAUACUGACGCUGGAGGAGCGAAAGCGUGGGGAGCGAACAGG
rnacentral:rRNA from 1 species